UGCACGCGGCUCGGUGGAGGGGCAGUUGGAGAAGGGGGCGGAGCGAGCUGGGUGGUGAGCGGCACUCUGGGACUCGGAGGACUGAGCGGCUAACCGCUGGAGGCGGGAGUCGGCGUGGGAUGAGAUCACUCAUUCUGGGGAAGAAAGCUCCCAUGUCAUGAAGACAAUCAUGCAGCUUUACAGAGAGAUCCACAUAGUGAGGAGCUGAGUUGUCCUGCAACUUGCAAGCCAUAUGCGAGAAAAGGAUGAUUCCCUAGAGAGGGCUAUGAACAAGAAUACAGAGCUGUGAACAGGAAUAUUUGGGAACAGAUAUUGAGAAAGAAAAAAUUUAAACUUAAGUAACCGCUCUUUAUCACUGGAUCAAGUGGUGGAAGAAAAAUAUCACCCUUACAAAUCAGAAAACCAUCUUUCAAAUAGUGGCUACUCCAAAAUUCAACCAGGUUGAGGAAGCUGUUCACUAGUCAAGGGGGCAAUUUUUCCUGAAGAGGAUACUGGAAAAGGAAGGACCUCCUAGAACAUGAAGUCAAGAGUCACGAAGGACAAUAGACUAUGAACCUACCUCCAGGAAACAAAAUUGAUUAAGUUUUCUACACUAACUCAGCUUAGUAGACCUUAUGAUAGUUCCUCAUUGGGAUUUCAGAAUUGCUAUGAAUCAGUGAUUGCUGGUUCUACCCUUUUCCCCUCAUAAAUAAGAGUAUUUAUAUGGGUUCCACAUUUUAUGAUGCAUGUGUGGGGUGCAAAUAACAAACUUUUUAGUUUAUAGGACUUUGGCUCAAGAGAAGCUAUAUUUGAGUAUGAUAUACAUUUUAAGAGCUCGGGUUUCAUACUGGAUGUUUUGAUUGGAUAAGACCUUAGAGUAUUGUUAGAAUGGGGUGACUAUCUUUGUUUCGAGGAAGGGAGUGAACAUUUGUGAACAAUGGCAGGCUGUAUCAGAUUGCAUUAUUUCACAGAUAUUCAUUCCUCCAUACCCUUGCCAUGCUUUGUGAACACAGUCUACUUUCCUGCCCACUGACUUUAGCCUAGAUCAUAUUACUUUCUUUGGCUAAAAGAUAUCUCAGUAGAAGUUUUAAAUGUGCUUGCAUAUUUUGUAUGGCUUGGUACCCAGUCUCCUGAUUUUUUCCUUCCAAAAUGAGAGUAGCAUGUCCCAGGUACAGGCUUACUCUUUCAGUCUGACCUCUGGAAUGAGAAUAUAUGUUUCAUGGAGACCAGGAGUUUUGAGAAAAAAGAACUAUUGACCGAGAAUCCCAUACCCUUGAAAAUAUCCUUCAGAAAUGAAGGGGAAAUCAAGAGGCACCUGAGUGGUUUAGUUGGUUAAGUGUCCAAAUUCAGCUCAGGUCACGAUCCCACGGUUUAUGAGUUCAAGCCUCAGGUCAGGCUCUGUGCUGAGAGCUCAGAGCCUGGAGCCUGCUUUGGAUUCGGUGUCUCCCUCUCUUUUUGCCCCUCCCCCAUUCACACUGUCUCUCUCUGUGUCAAGAA